CGAACGCUGGCGGCAUGCCUACCACAUGCACGUCGAACGAGACCUUCGGGUCUAGUGGCGCACGGGUGCGUAACGCGUGGGAAACUGCCCUUAGGUUCGGAAUAACUCCCCGAAAGGGGGGCUAAUACCGGAUAAUGUCUUCGGACCAAAGAUUUAUCGCCUUUGGAUGGGCCCGCGUUGGAUUAGCUAGUUGGUAGGGUAAAAGCCUACCAAGGCGACGAUCCAUAGCUGGUCUGAGAGGAUGAUCAGCCACACUGGGACUGAGACACGGCCCAGACUCCUACGGGAGGCAGCAGUGGGGAAUAUUGGACAAUGGGCGAAAGCCUGAUCCAGCAAUGCCGCGUGAGUGAUGAAGGCCUUAGGGUUGUAAAGCUCUUUUACCCGGGAUGAUAAUGACAGUACCGGGAGAAUAAGCUCCGGCUAACUCCGUG
rnacentral:rRNA from 1 species